GUUAACAACAUACAGUUGGCUCUAGUGCGUCCUCUACGCAAAAAAAAAGGGAAAAGACGGGAGAGCAAGUUCUGCAACAAUCACCAGCAGUAGCCUGAUAUAAAUGGAUGACAAUCUCUCAAGUUUGGAAACAGAGGCAACCAUGAAUUUGACUUCGGUGUGGACCUCUUGGAAGAACAUACUAAAAUGAUGCCCUUCCCAUGGUUCAUUAACAAUGUGUAUGACAGGUUCACUAGUGAAACGUUGGUCCAUGGCGUGGUCAGCAGCAUCCUGGAGUGGAACGGCCUGAAGAUCGAUUUCAUGGGCCUGGUAGAGGAGGACUGGAUGGAUACCCUGGGCACUGUGGACAAGAACGACAUCAAGUAUAUAGACUACGUGGAGCUGAGGGACAAAGGGGCUGACCUGGGCAUCGCACUCACACACAUGAGGUGGCGUAAUGGCAUCAGGCUAGCAUCCAAGUCUAAAGGUGUGGAUCUCAUCCUGGGAGGACAUGCCCAUGAGUGACGGGUUCUGGAGGUCAAUGGGAUUGUGAUUGUGAAGAGUGGCUCAGAGUUCAGUUACAUUUCGAAGAGUGAUGUUGUGAAGGGCCAGGAUUGGACUUUCAAGUACAGCUGUGUAAAGAUAGCCACAAUGAAAGACCUUGAGGAAGAUGCAGGAAUCCGGCAGAGUGUGAAAGGAUACACUGAUAAUAUGCUGCACAUGCUUGGAGAGGUCCUGUGCCACAUAGAAGUGGCAUUGGAUGGACGCUACGCCGCCGUGAGACGAGCAGAGUGCUACCUGGGUAAUCUGGUCAUCUAUGCCAUGCUGGAGCUGGAGGCCACUCAUGCUGAGGUGGCUUUUUUAAACUCAGGGCUUGGAGAACGGAAUCCGCAACUACCUUGCUCUGGAUGGAAGAUUUCCCCAGGUUUCUGGGAUCCAUUUUGGCUUUGAUCUCAUUGGAAAACCUGGCAGAGUCAUCGCUGAGACUGUGAAGGUUCAAGGGCAACGAUGACUACACCAUGUUCAGUGGCGGACCUCAUAGGCACAUAAGGCACGUUUUAUGAAUAUAUGUCACUCUGUCUCAGCACAUGCUUGGAGAGGUCCUGUGCCACAUAGACGUGGCCUUGGAUGGACGCCACGCCGCAGUGAGACGAGCAGAGUGCAACCUGGGUAAUCUGGUCAUCUAGGCCAUGCUGGAGGCCACUCAUGCUGAGGUCGCUUUUUUAAACUCAGCAGGAAAUCAGCUCCCGUCAACCGUCCUUAUCAACCACUUUGAGUCUGGCCGGAUAGUCAGAUGCAUGAAGAGGUGCAAGUCUGGUCACAUGAUGGGUCUUAUCAAGGUGUCCAGCAGCCCCUCUGUGUCUGGUGAGCACAGCUGCUUCUGUCAUUCAUAACACUCAUUUCCAAGAGCUGACUAAUGUCCUUCCUGUCCUGUUUUUCAUUACUGUGCUGAUCACAUCUGUGAUUGAGAGCUAACCUGGAGUGUGUACUGAUGGUGUUUCUGCGGCCAUUGAGAGAUCCAAGAAUGAGAGUCUGGAGGGAGAGGUGGGAGUGGCUCUGGUGCCCGGAGUGGAUGGCAGGAUAUUCCACGUCCAACCUGAGGGCCAUUCAGAAACAGAAAGCUAACAGUAGGCAGGGCUGUUCCUCGUCUGAGAAUUCCACAGAGCAACUAAGCCAGGGCUCCAUAGUCACCGUGGGAACCAGGGGACAUUACAUCAAGUCUUUUGCAUCUCUCAUCUACUGCUUGUUUUUAUCACCCUCAUAAACAAGGCAGAUUGUCAAUAAACACUUGGACAGAAACAUGAGAUUAAAGUCAUUCAUUGUAUUACUUCCAGGAACUUUGUGCAAUUCAUUGACAUUGCACUCGAAAUUACUCAAUAAAUGUGAACAUCGAAAACUAGUAUAUUACCAAAAAUGUAUUUAUUUUGAAUGAUAAGCAGAGAGGGUCUACAUUUGUGACGUAAGACGGUGUUGGUGUAUCAGUAUUUGAAUGGAGGAAAUAAGAAGAAGUGUCUACAUGUGUCCAUGAUAACAUUACAGUAAUAAAGUCAGUAUACUGAACUACAUGUUUUUUUGCUGGGUUUUAUUUGAUUCAAACGAGUGAAAAGAAACAAGUCACAG